GGAUAGUGGCGAACGGGUGAGUAACACGUGGGCAAUCUGCCCUGCACUCUGGGACAAGCCCUGGAAACGGGGUCUAAUACCGGAUACUGACCCGCCUGGGCAUCCAGGCGGUUCGAAAGCUCCGGCGGUGCAGGAUGAGCCCGCGGCCUAUCAGCUUGUUGGUGAGGUAACGGCUCACCAAGGCGACGACGGGUAGCCGGCCUGAGAGGGCGACCGGCCACACUGGGACUGAGACACGGCCCAGACUCCUACGGGAGGCAGCAGUGGGGAAUAUUGCACAAUGGGCGAAAGCCUGAUGCAGCGACGCCGCGUGAGGGAUGACGGCCUUCGGGUUGUAAACCUCUUUCAGCAGGGAAGAAGCGCAAGUGACGGUACCUGCAGAAGAAGCGCCGGCUAACUACGUGCCAGCAGCCGCGGUAAUACGUAGGGCGCGAGCGUUGUCCGGAAUUAUUGGGCGUAAAGAGCUCGUAGGCGGCUUGUCGCGUCGGUUGUGAAAGCCCGGGGCUUAACCCCGGGUCUGCAGUCGAUACGGGCAGGCUAGAGUUCGGUAGGGGAGAUCGGAAUUCCUGGUGUAGCGGUGAAAUGCGCAGAUAUCAGGAGGAACACCGGUGGCGAAGGCGGAUCUCUGGGCCGAUACUGACGCUGAGGAGCGAAAGCGUGGGGAGCGAACAGGAUUAGAUACCCUGGUAGUCCACGCCGUAAACGGUGGGCACUAGGUGUGGGCGACAUUCCACGUCGUCCGUGCCGCAGCUAACGCAUUAAGUGCCCCGCCUGGGGAGUACGGCCGCAAGGCUAAACUCAAAGGAAUUGACGGGGGCCCGCACAGCGGCGGAGCAUGUGGCUAAUUCGA
rnacentral:rRNA from 1 species